UACGAGGGGUGCAAGCGUUGCUCGGAAUUAUUGGGCGUAAAGGGUAGGUAGGUGGUCUCAUUUGUCUGGGGUGAAAGCCUUGAGCUUAACUCAAGAAGUGCCCCAGAAACGGUGAGACUCGAGUCCUGGAGAGGGUCGUGGAAUUCCCGGUGUAGCGGUGAAAUGCGUAGAGAUCGGGAGGAACACCAGCGGCGAAGGCGACUCUUUGGCCUGUAACUGACGCUGAGGCGCGAAAGCGUGGGGAGCAAACAGG
rnacentral:rRNA from 1 species